rnacentral:rRNA from 1 species
UCCUAGUACGAGAGGACCAGAGUGGACGAACCUCUGGUGUACCGGUUGUGACGCCAGUCGCAUCGCCGGGUAGCUAUGUUCGGAAGGGAUAACCGCUGAAAGCAUCUAAGCGGGAAGCCUACCUCAAGAUAAGAUUUCCCUAGGACUUUAUGUCCUCUAAAGAGCCGUUCGAGACUAGGACGUUGAUAGGUUGGAUGUGGAAGCAUAGUGAUAUGUGAAGCUGACCAAUACUAAUUGCUCGUGAGGCUUGACUAU